GAAUUCACUAGUGAUUUCUGGUUGAUCCUGCCAGACCCGACUGCUAUCAGAGUGGGACUAAGCCAUGCGAGUCGACGUAGCAAUACGUGGCGAACGGCUCAGUAACACGUAGUCAACAUGCCCAGGGGAUGUGGAUAAUCUCGGGAAACUGAGAAUAAACCACGAUAGGUCACGAUUUCUGGAAUGGAUCUUGGCUUAAAUCUACAUGGCCCCUGGAUUGGACUGCGGCCGAUCAGGCUGUUGGUGAGGUAAUGGCCCACCAAACCUAUAACCGGUACGGGCUCUGAGAGGAGGAGCCCGGAGAUGGGCACUGAGACAAGGGCCCAGGCCCUAUGGGGCGCAGCAGGCGCGAAACCUCUGCAAUAGGCGAAAGCCUGACAGGGUUACUCUGAGUGAUUUCCGCUAAGGGGAUCUUUUGGCACCUCUAAAAAUGGUGCAGAAUAAGGGGUGGGCAAGUCUGGUGUCAGCCGCCGCGGUAAUACCAGCACCCCGAGUGGUCGGGACGAUUAUUGGGCCUAAAGCAUCCGUAGCCGGUUCUGCAAGUCUUCCGUUAAAUCCAGCCGCUCAACGGAUGGGCCGCGGAGGAUACUAUAGGACUAGGAGGCGGGAGAGGCAAGCGGUACUCAGUGGGUAGGGGUAAAAUCCUUUGAUCCAUUGAAGACCACCAGUGGCGAAGGCGGCUUGCCAGAACGCGCUCGACGGUGAGGGAUGAAAGCUGGGGGAGCAAACCGGAUUAGAUACCCGGGUAGUCCCAGCUGUAAACGAUGCAGACUCGGUGAUGGGCUAGCCUUGUGCCAGCCCAGUGCCGCAGGGAAGCCGUUAAGUCUGCCGUCUGGGGAGUACGGUCGCAAGACUGAAACUUAAAGGAAUUGGCGGGGGAGCACCACAAGGGGUGAAGCCUGCGGUUCAAUUGGAUUCAACGCCGGAAAUCGAAUUCCCGCGGCC
rnacentral:rRNA from 1 species